UACGUAGGGUGCGAGCGUUGUCCGGAUUUAUUGGGCGUAAAGAGCUCGUAGGCGGUUUGUCGCGUCGGCCGUGAAAUCUCCACGCUUAACGUGGAGCGUGCGGUCGAUACGGGCAUGACUGGAGUUCGGCAGGGGAGACUGGAAUUCCUGGUGUAGCGGUGAAAUGCGCAGAUAUCAGGAGGAACACCGGUGGCGAAGGCGGUUCUCUGGGCAUUACCUGACGCUGAGGAGCGAAAGUGUGGGGAGCGAACAGG
rnacentral:rRNA from 1 species